CCAAAUAAAAGAAAUUAUUCAUAAGUUCACCAAAUAAUUACUGUAACAUUUAUCAACAUAAGUUUGCAUGCUUUGUGUAACAAGGCAAUGGACUCACAGUGUUAGAGGAUUUAUCACAGAGAGAGCAGGUAAUAUUAAUCUAUUUAAUAGUAAUCAGAGCUAUUUUUUCAGUGACCGAAGCCGGAGCUUCGCCAUUUUUACUUUCACUCUCGUCUAUUUCUUUCUUUGCAGGUUGUGGCUGGUUGUUCCCAAAGUGAGAGGGAUCACGACUGAAGCUUGGCAAGGGAGCUAAGAUGGCUGAGACGUGGAUUUUUGUAGGGGUGCUGCUAACUCUCAAUUGCUAUAUCAAUAGAGUUUUUCAGAUGAGUUUGAUUGAUUCUUGAGGAGAAGAAGAUGAGUAGCGGCUGCUUCUCUUAGGGGUUAGGUCUUCUGCUGCCCCUCUCAGCUUAACGGUUUAGG
rnacentral:lncRNA from 1 species